UAAAGAUCUCUUAUUAAUGGUCAGAUUUAAAGAUCUCUUAUUAAUGGUCAGGUUUAAAGAUCUCUUAUUAAUGGUCAGGUUUAAAGAUCUCCUAUUAAUGGUCAUAAACAGACGCAGUAAGAUACUAAUCUUAAGCCUAGGUGCCUCUUUUAAGCUGACACACCUGACAACAGGUAAGAGAAUCAAACACACAUUAUUCUAAUGACAUGGAGAAUAAAGCCGAUUGUUUUGGAAGCCUGAUGGAAAAAAUAGAGUCACCAUAUCUCGUCCUCUCCUAAAUCAAUAAAUCUAUGAACAUUUUCAUGCAUGUAUGGACACAGUAUGUAUUAAGAAGAAUCACAUGUCCCUCUGUGUGUGGUGGUUCUGUUAGUGGUGCUGGUGGUGGGGCAGGGGAGAGUAUACACAGGGAUUUGUGUACAUGUAUUUUAAGUUAUUCAACUGAGUGUAAAGGGACAGCAAUAGCCUCAGCAGGACUUGCUGACUUGCUUUCAUGGGGUAACUUUUUUAAUCAUUUUUUCUACGACCCUUUAAUGAAAACACAUUUUUAGUCAUGAACCUACUUACAGGUAUCGUCCAGUAAACACAUACGUAAUACACCUCAACCCUACAAGUCAGUCAAUCCCUUUUUGUGUAUGUAUUAAUCAAAUAUGGACAAAAUUAGCAUGACACUUAACGGACAGAGCAGGCAUUGACUAUACUCUUUGUUAUAUUAUUUAGAGAGACCAAACAUUAGUUCAUUGUGAAAAAGCACUCAAGAACAGUUUUUUUAAAAUGUAGAAACCUCCAGCACAUCCAUCCAGACCAUCCAGUUGCAGCCUUGGCUGUGGGCUCAUUAGCUACUCAACACUUUAAGGGAUCUCUCUACAGUCCUGCGCUGACGUACUUCUCAUUGCAAAGCUAUUGAACUGAUUUAUCUAAUCCAAGAAGCCUCUUAGAGUGCUGUGGGAUGCCAGCUUCAGUCACCACCAGUUAAUGAUGGUAAAGGUAUUAAUUUUUUUUAAAUGCAUCACAGCUAACUCUCUGUUUAUGUUCAUGUUGCAUUUCAGACUUUACUCUGUGGGAGUAUAUCUCUGUUAUGAGCCCCUAAUUCUACCUGCUCAAUCAGCAGACAGACACAGACAGAGACCAGCUGGUGAACAAGGGGCGGUCAUUUGUUCCAGAUAUUGGUGUUUCACAUUAGUUUGGUGGGAAGAAAUACAUCUCUAUCAUUGUCAUGGAUACAUUAGAGUCAGGUGACCUGAGGUAUAUUACUCUGGUAGCAUCAUAGUGAUGAAUUCAUCUUAGAGGAUUUAUGUAAAUAUCAUUUUGCCUUACAUAUGUAGAUGAAAUGAAACUUAGGUUGUGAAAUCUGUUAAACAUGGUCAGUAAAGUUUAAACUGUUUAUGAGAUGGUGUUUAAUUUAAAACCGUGUUCAAUAAAGAUUGAUUUAUUAUACA